rnacentral:rRNA from 1 species
AGUCGAACGGAGAUUACUUCGGUAAUCUUAGUGGCGAACGGGUGAGUAACGCGUGGGCAACCUGCCCUCUAGAUGGGGACAACAUCCCGAAAGGGGUGCUAAUACCGAAUGUGACAGCAAUCUCGCAUGAGGAUGCUGUGAAAGAUGGCCUCUAUUUAUAAGCUAUCGCUAGAGGAUGGGCCUGCGUCUGAUUAGCUAGUUGGUGGGGUAACGGCCUACCAAGGCGAUGAUCAGUAGCCGGUCUGAGAGGAUGAACGGCCACAUUGGGACUGAGACACGGCCCAGACUCCUACGGGAGGCAGCAGUGGGGAAUCUUCCGCAAUGGGCGAAAGCCUGACGGAGCA